rnacentral:rRNA from 1 species
GAUGAACGCUGGCGGCGUGCCUAAUACAUGCAAGUCGAGCGAACAGACGAGGAGCUUGCUCCUCUGAUGUUAGCGGCGGACGGGUGAGUAACACGUGGAUAACCUACCUAUAAGACUGGGAUAACUUCGGGAAACCGGAGCUAAUACCGGAUAACAUGUUGAACCGCAUGGUUCAACAGUGAAAGACGGUCUUGCUGUCACUUAUAGAUGGAUCCGCGCCGCAUUAGCUAGUUGGUAAGGUAACGGCUUACCAAGGCAACGAUGCGUAGCCGACCUGAGAGGGUGAUCGGCCACACUGGAACUGAGACACGGUCCAGACUCCUACGGGAGGCAGCAGUAGGGAAUCUUCCGCAAUGGGCGAAAGCCUGACGGAGCAACGCCGCGUGAGUGAAGAAGGUCUUCGGAUCGUAAAACUCUGUUAUUAGGGAAGAACAAAUGUGUAAGUAACUAUGCACGUCUUGACGGUACCGAAGCAGAAAGCCACGGCUAACUACGU